CGGACGGGUGAGUAAUGUCUGGGAAACUGCCCGAUGGAGGGGGAUAACUACUGGAAACGGUAGCUAAUACCGCAUAACGUCGCAAGACCAAAGAGGGGACCUUCGGGCCUCUUGCCAUCGGAUGUGCCCAGAUGGGAUUAGCUAGUAGGUGGGGUAACGGCUCACCUAGGCGACGAUCCCUAGCUGGUCUGAGAGGAUGACCAGCCACACUGGAACUGAGAUACGGUCCAG
rnacentral:rRNA from 1 species